rnacentral:rRNA from 1 species
UACAGAGGGUGCAACCGUUGUUCGGAUUUACUGGGCGUAAAGCGCGUGUAGGCGGUCGGGCAAGUCGGAUGUGAAAGCCCAGGGCUCAACCCUGGAAGUGCACUCGAUACUGCUCGGCUAGAGUCCCGGAGAGGAUGGUGGAACUCUCGGUGUAGAGGUGAAAUUCGUAGAUAUCGAGAAGAACACCGGUGGCGAAGGCGGCCAUCUGGACGGUGACUGACGCUGAGACGCGAAAGCGUGGGGAGCAAACAGG